GACAAUUCGGCCGAGUGGUCUAAGGCGGCCGGUUUAUGCUCUGGUCCGAAAGGGCGUGGGUUCAAAUCCUACAGCUCUCA
rnacentral:tRNA from 1 species